GUCCACGCCUAACGAUGAUUACUCGAUGUUAGCGAUAUACAGUUAGCGUCAAAGCGAAGCGUUAAGUAAUCCACCUGGGAGUACGCCGGCAACGGUGAACUCAAGGAAUUGACGGGCCCGCACAAGCGGAGGAGCAUGUGGUUUAAUUCGAUGAUACGCGAGGAACCUUACCCGGGCUUGAAGUUAGUGAAUGAACCAGAAAUGGAUCAGUCCGCAAGGACACGAAACUAGGUGCUGCAUGGCUGUCGU
rnacentral:rRNA from 1 species